GACGAACGCUGGCGGCGUGCUUAACACAUGCAAGUCGAGCGAUGAAGUUCCUUCGGGAACGGAUUAGCGGCGGACGGGUGAGUAACACGUGGGUAACCUGCCUCAUAGAGGGGAAUAGCCUUUCGAAAGGAAGAUUAAUACCCCAUAAGAUUGUAGUACCGCAUGGUAUAGCAAUUAAAGGAGUAAUCCGCUAUGAGAUGGACCCGCGUCGCAUUAGCUAGUUUGUGAGGUAACGGCUCACCAAGGCGACGAUGCGUAGCCGACCUGAGAGGGUGAUCGGCCACAUUGGGACUGAGACACGGCCCAGACUCCUACGGGAGGCAGCAGUGGGGAAUAUUGCACAAUGGGGGAAACCCUGAUGCAGCAACGCCGCGUGAGUGAUGACGGUCUUCGGAUUGUAAAACUCUGUCUUCAGGGACGAUAAUGACGGUACCUGAGGAGGAAGCCACGGCUAACUACGUGCCAGCCGCCGCCGUAA
rnacentral:rRNA from 1 species